AGGAGCUGGUGCACUUCUCUUCUUUCAUCCCUCCUUCCGUUCCUUCUCUCCCUCUGGGCACGAGUAGCGUCUCUCCUCUUCAUGCUGCCACACCUCUACUUCUCUUCCUCUGCGACGCAUCCAUGAGGUUACAACGAGGGCAGCGACGGAGGACGAACAGAGGGGAAUCAAUAGAGCCGGCCCAUUGAAGGAGACAGGCGGGGUGGUGUGCCUUCUCAACCUUACAGCGCUGGCAAACGGCAAGAAAUCAACCCCCUGCCACACGUGUGGGUUUAUUCGUUCACGUGACGCCACCCAGGACAAGCGCUCUACCGGAAGUAGAGGUGAGUGUGUAUGGAGGGAUGAUCACAGUGGAUGCUUGGACAAUGCAACCCCGCAUACUUCUGCUCCUACCAUGGUAACUGGUGGGUGGAGGAUAGGAGUGCGUGUGUGUGUGUGCGUGUGUGUGUUUCAGGGGCCACACGGCAGAUGCCAUGGGGUGACGCUGUACAGCUCAGCAGC